rnacentral:rRNA from 1 species
GACGACGGGUAGCCGACCUGAGAGGGUGACCGGCCACACUGGGACUGAGACACGGCCCAGACUCCUACGGGAGGCAGCAGUGGGGAAUAUUGCACAAUGGGCGAAAGCCUGAUGCAGCGACGCCGCGUGAGGGAUGACGGCCUUCGGGUUGUAAACCUCUUUCAGCAGGGACGAAGCGCAAGUGACGGUACCUGCAGAAGAAGCACCGGCUAACUACGUGCCAGCAGCCGCGGUAAUACGUAGGGUGCAAGCGUUGUCCGGAAUUACUGGGCGUAAAGAGUUCGUAGGCGGUUUGUCGCGUCGUUUGUGAAAACCAGCAGCUCAACUGCUGGCUUGCAGGCGAUACGGGCAGACUUGAGUACUGCAGGGGAGACUGGAAUUCCUGGUGUAGCGGUGAAAUGCGCAGAUAUCAGGAGGAACACCGGUGGCGAAGGCGGGUCUCUGGGCAGUAACUGACGCUGAGGAACGAAAGCGUGGGUAGCGAACAGGAUUAGAUACCCUGGUAGUCCACGCCGUAAACGGUGGGCGCUAGGUGUGGGUUCCUUCCACGGAAUCCGUGCCGUAGCUAACGCAUUAAGCGCCCCGCGGGGGAAA